rnacentral:rRNA from 1 species
GAUGAAUGCUGGCGGCGUGCCUAACACAUGCAAGUCGAGCGGCAGCGCGGGGUGCUUGCACCCUGUCGGCGAGCGGCGAACGGCUGAGUAACGCGUAGGAAUUUGCCCCAAAGUGAGGAAUAACUGCCCGAAAGGGUAGCUAAUGCCGCAUAUGGUCUUCGGAUUAAAGGAUUUAUCCGCUUUGGGAGAAGCCUGCGUUGGAUUAGGUUGUUGGUAGGGUAAUGGCCUACCAAGCCGACGAUCCAUAGCUGGUCUGAGAGGAUGAUCAGCCAGACUGGAACUGAGACGCGGUCCAGACUCCUACGGGAGGCAGCAGUGAGGAAUCUUCCACAAUGGGCGAAAGCCUGAUGGAGCAACGCCGCGUGAAGGAUGAAGGCCUUCGGGUUGUAAACUUCUUUUAUGAGUGAAGAAUAUGACGGUAACUCGUGAAUAAGCACCGGCUAACUACGUG